GACGAACGCUGGCGGCGUGCCUAAUACAUGCAAGUAGAACGCUGAAGAGAGGAGCUUGCUCUUCUUGGAUGAGUUGCGAACGGGUGAGUAACGCGUAGGUAACCUGCCUUGUAGCGGGGGAUAACUAUUGGAAACGAUAGCUAAUACCGCGCAACAAUGGAUGACUCAUGUCAUUUAUUUGAAAGGGGCAAAUGCUCCACUACAAGAUGGACCUGCGUUGUAUUAGCUAGUAGGUGAGGUAACGGCUCACCUAGGCGACGAUACAUAGCCGACCUGAGAGGGUGAUCGGCCACACUGGGACUGAGACACGGCCCAGACUCCUACGGGAGGCAGCAGUAGGGAAUCUUCGGCAAUGGGGGCAACCCUGACCGAGCAACGCCGCGUGAGUGAAGAAGGUUUUCGGAUCGUAAAGCUCUGUUGUAAGUCAAGAACGAGUGUGAGAGUGGAAAGUUCACACUGUGACGGUAGCUUACCAGAAAGGGACGGCUAACUACGUGCCAGCCGCCGCGGUAA
rnacentral:rRNA from 1 species